rnacentral:rRNA from 1 species
CUACGGGAGGCAGCAGUGGGGAAUAUUGCACAAUGGGCGAAAGCCUGAUGCAGCGACGCCGCGUGAGGGAUGACGGCCUUCGGGUUGUAAACCUCUUUCAGUAGGGAAGAAGCGAAAGUGACGGUACCUGCAGAAGAAGCGCCGGCUAACUACGUGCCAGCAGCCGCGGUAAUACGUAGGGCGCAAGCGUUAUCCGGAUUUAUUGGGCGUAAAGAGCUCGUAGGCGGUUUGUCGCGUCUGCCGUGAAAGUCCGAGGCUCAACCUCGGAUCUGCGGUGGGUACGGGCAGACUAGAGUGAUGUAGGGGAGACUGGAAUUCCUGGUGUAGCGGUGAAAUGCGCAGAUAUCAGGAGGAACACCGAUGGCGAAGGCAGGUCUCCGG